rnacentral:rRNA from 1 species
UACGGGGGGGGGCAAGCGUUGUUCGGAAUUACUGGGCGUAAAGGGCUCGUAGGCGGCCAACUAAGUCAUACGUGAAAUCCCCCGGCCUAACCGGGGAACUGCGUCUGAUACUGGAUGGCUUGAGUUCGGGAGAGGGAUGCGGAAUUCCAGGUGUAGCGGUGAAAUGCGUAGAUAUCUGGAGGAACACCGGUGGCGAAGGCAGGUCUCUGGGCAUUAACUGACGCUGAGGAGCGAAAGCAUGGGGAGCGAACAGGG